AACGCUGGCGGCGUGCCUAAUACAUGCAAGUCGAACGAGUUCUCGUUGAUGAUCGGUGCUUGCACCGAGAUUCAACAUGGAACGAGUGGCGGACGGGUGAGUAACACGUGGGUAACCUGCCCUUAAGUGAGGGAUAACAUUUGGAAACAGAUGCUAAUACCGCAUAGAUCCAAGAACCGCAUGGUUCUUGGCUGAAAGAUGGCGUAAGCUAUCGCUUUUGGAUGGACCCGCGGCGUAUUAGCUAGUUGGUGAGGUAACGGCUCACCAAGGCGAUGAUACGUAGCCGAACUGAGAGGUUGAUCGGCCACAUUGGGACUGAGACACGGCCCAAACUCCUACGGGAGGCAGCAGUAGGGAAUCUUCCACAAUGGACGCAAGUCUGAUGGAGCAACGCCGCGUGAGUGAAGAAGGCUUUCGGGUCGUAAAACUCUGUUGUUGGAGAAUAAUGGUCGGCAGAGUAACUGUUGUCGGCGUGACGGUAUCCAACCAGAAAGCCACGGCUAACUACGUGCCACCAGCCGCGGUAAUACGUAGGUGGCAUAGCGUUAUCCGGAUUUAUUUGGGGUUAAGCGAGCGCAGGCGGUUUUUUUAGUCUGAUGUGAAAGCCCCUCGGCUUAACCGAGGAAGCGCAUCGGAAACUGGGAAACUUGAGUGCAGAAGAGGACAGUGGAACUCCAUGUGUAGCGGUGAAAUGCGUAGAUAUAUGGAAGAACACCAGUGGCGAAGGCGGCUGUCUGGUCUGUAACUGACGCUGAGGCUCGAAAGCAUGGGUAGCGAACAGGAUUAGAUACCCUGGUAGUCCAUGCCGUAAACGAUGAAUGCUAGGUGUUGGAGGGUUUCCGCCCUUCAGUGCCGCAGCUAACGCAUUAAGCAUUCCGCCUGGGGAGUACGACCGCAAGGUUGAAACUCAAAGGAAUUGACGGGGGCCCGCACAAGCGGUGGAGCAUGUGGUUUAAUUCGAAGCAACGCGAAGAACCUUACCAGGUCUUGACAUCUUUUGAUCACCUGAGAGAUCAGGUUUCCCCUUCGGGGGCAAAAUGACAGGUGGUGCAUGGUUGUCGUCAGCUCGUGUCGUGAGAUGUUGGGUUAAGUCCCGCAACGAGCGCAACCCUUAUGACUAGUUGCCAGCAUUUAGUUGGGCACUCUAGUAAGACUGCCGGUGACAAACCGGAGGAAGGUGGGGAUGACGUCAAAUCAUCAUGCCCCUUAUGACCUGGGCUACACACGUGCUACAAUGGAUGGUACAACGAGUUGCGAGACCGCGAGGUCAAGCUAAUCUCUUAAAGCCAUUCUCAGUUCGGACUGUAGGCUGCAACUCGCCUACACGAAGUCGGAAUCGCUAGUAAUCGCGGAUCAGCACGCCGCGGUGAAUACGUUCCCGGGCCUUGUACACACCGCCCGUCACACCAUGAGAGUUUGUAACACCCGAAGCCGGUGGCGUAACCCUUUUAGGGAGCGAGCCGUCUAAGGUGGGACAAAUGAUUAGGGUGAAG
rnacentral:rRNA from 1 species